GAUGAACGCUGGCGGCGUGCCUAAUACAUGCAAGUCGAGCGAACAGACGAGGAGCUUGCUCCUCUGACGUUAGCGGCGGACGGGUGAGUAACACGUGGAUAACCUACCUAUAAGACUGGGAUAACUUCGGGAAACCGGAGCUAAUACCGGAUAAUAUAUUGAACCGCAUGGUUCAAUAGUGAAAGACGGUUUUGCUGUCACUUAUAGAUGGAUCCGCGCCGCAUUAGCUAGUUGGUAAGGUAACGGCUUACCAAGGCAACGAUGCGUAGCCGACCUGAGAGAGGGAUCGGCCACACUGGAAGUGGGACACGGUCCAGACUCCUACGGGAGGCAGCAGUAGGGAAUCUUCCGCAAUGGGCGAAAGCUUGACGGAGCAACGCCGCGUGAGUGAUGAAGGUCUUCGGAUCGUAAAACUCUGUUAUUAGGGAAGAACAAAUGUGUAAGUAACUAUGCACGUCUUGACGGUACCUAAUCAGAAAGCCACGGCUAACUACGUG
rnacentral:rRNA from 1 species